CCUACGGGGGGCAGCAGUGGGGAAUAUUGCACAAUGGGGGAAACCCUGAUGCAGCGACGCCGCGUGAAGGAAGAAGGUUUUCGGAUCGUAAACUUCUAUCAGCAGGGAAGAAGGAAGUGACAGUACUUGACUAAGAAGCCCCGGCUAACUACGUGCCAGCAGCCGCGGUAAUACGUAGGGGGCAAGCGUUAUCCGGAAUCACUGGGUGUAAAGGGUGCGUAGGCGGUAGGGCAAGUCAGAUGUGAAAGCCCGGGGCUCAACCCCGGGACUGCAUGUGAAACUGUAUUACUAGAGUGCAGGAGAGGAGAGUGGAAUUCCCAGUGUAGCGGUGAAAUGCGUAGAUAUUGGGAGGAACACCAGUUGCGAAGGCGGCUCUCUGGACUGUAACUGACGCUAAGGCACGAAAGCGUGGGGAGCAAACAGGAUUAGAUACCCUUGUAGUC
rnacentral:rRNA from 1 species